CAAUAGCGUAUAUUAAAGUUGUUGCAGUUAAAAAGCUCGUAGUUGGAUUUCUGGUCGGAAGCUCCUGUCCUCUGAUGAGCGUACAAGUGCGUCCUACCAUCCUUCUGUUAACCUUUAAGGCUUUCGCGGCUUUCUAGGGGCUCAGAUAUUUUACCUUGAGAAAAUUAGAGUGUUUCAGGCAGGCUAGCGCCGGAAUACAUUAGCAUGGAAUAAUGGAAUAGGACUUUUGCCUCUUCUGUUGGUCAUGAGGCUCGAGUAAUGAUUAAUAGGGAUAGUUGGGGGCAUUAGUACUUAACUGUCAGAGGUGAAAUUCUCGGAUUUGUUAAAGACUAACUUAUGCGAAAGCGUUUGCCAAGGAUGUUUUCAUUAA
rnacentral:rRNA from 1 species